GAUGAACGCUAGCUACAGGCUUAACACAUGCAAGUCGCAGGGUAACAUGAGGAAAGCUUGCUUUCCUUGAUGACGACUGGCGCACGGGUGAGUAACGCGUAUCCAACCUUCCCAUAACUACGGGAUAACCCGUUGAAAGACGGCCUAAUACCGUAUGAUAUCGUUUGCUGACAUCAAAUAACGAUUAAAGGUUUAGCGGUUAUGGAUGGGAUGCGUCUGAUUAGCUUGUUGGCGGGGUAACGGCCCACCAAGGCGACGAUCAGUAGGGGUUCUGAGAGGAAGGUCCCCCACAUUGGAACUGAGACACGGUCCAAACUCCUACGGGAGGCAGCAGUGAGGAAUAUUGGUCAAUGGGCGAGAGCCUGAACCAACCAAGUAGCGUGCAGGACGACGGCCCUAUGGGUUGUAAACUGCCUUUAUGUGGGGAUAAAGUGCGUGACGUGUCAUGCAUUGCAGGUACCACAUGAAUAAGGACCGGCUAAUUCCGUG
rnacentral:rRNA from 1 species